CGCUAUCAGAUGAGCCUAGGUCGGAUUAGCUAGUUGGUGGGGUAAUGGCUCACCAAGGCGACGAUCCGUAACUGGUCUGAGAGGAUGAUCAGUCACACUGGAACUGAGACACGGUCCAGACUCCUACGGGAGGCAGCAGUGGGGAAUAUUGGACAAUGGGCGAAAGCCUGAUCCAGCCAUGCCGCGUGUGUGAAGAAGGUCUUCGGAUUGUAAAGCACUUUAAGUUGGGAGGAAGGGCAGUUGCCUAAUACGUAACUGUUUUGACGUUACCGACAGAAUAAGCACCGGCUAACUCUGUGCCAGCAGCCGCGGUAAUACAGAGGGUGCAAGCGUUAAUCGGAAUUACUGGGCGUAAAGCGCGCGUAGGUGGUUUGUUAAGUUGGAUGUGAAAUCCCCGGGCUCAACCUGGGAACUGCAUUCAAAACUGACUGACUAGAGUAUGGUAGAGGGUGGUGGAAUUUCCUGUGUAG
rnacentral:rRNA from 1 species